AUGGUGCUGAGGUUCCAGAUCACCCAGGAGAGUCCAGAACCUCAGCCCCAGCCAGGACCCCGCAGGAGAAACCUUCCGGAAGAACCUCAGGACCCCCCCCGGGACACGCCCGGAUCCGGCUUUGCCUCAUCCCCAUCUCCCCUUUUUCCCGCAGGGCUCCGGGCGGCCGUGACCCUGCUGGAGUCCGGGGGGGACCUCCAGCCCCCCGGGGGGUCCCUGCGCCUCCUCUGCCGCGGGGAAGGAUUCACAAUCGGGAAUUUUGGGAUGUUCUGGAUCCGGCAGAAACCCGGGAAGGCACUGGAAUACGUCGCACGGAUCAACAGCGAUGGCAGCUACACGUACUACGCGCCGUCGGUGCAGGGCCGGUUCAGCAUCGCCAGGGACAACGGGCAGAGCUCGGUGACGCUGAGCAUGAACAACCUCCAGGACGAGGAUUCCGGCGUUUAUUUCUGCGCCAAAGCCUCCUGUGUCAAU